CCUACGGUGGGCUGCAGUGGGGAAUAUUGGACAAUGGGCGAAAGCCUGAUCCAGCCAUGCCGCGUGUGUGAAGAAGGCCGUCGGGUUGUAAAGCACUUUCAGUGGGGAAGAAAGCCUUGGGGCUAAUACCCUCGAGGAAGGACAUCACCCACAGAAGAAGCACCGGCUAACUCCGUGCCAGCAGCCGCGGUAAUACGGAGGGUGCGAGCGUUAAUCGGAAUUACUGGGCGUAAAGCGCGCGUAGGCGGUCUGAUAAGCCGGUUGUGAAAGCCCCGGGCUCAACCUGGGAACGGCAUCCGGAACUGUCAGGCUAGAGUGCAGGAGAGGAAGGUAGAAUUCCCGGUGUAGCGGUGAAAUGCGUAGAGAUCGGGAGGAAUACCAGUGGCGAAGGCGGCCUUCUGGACUGACACUGACGCUGAGGUGCGAAAGCGUGGGUAGCAAACAGGAUUAGAUACCCCUGUAGUC
rnacentral:rRNA from 1 species